rnacentral:rRNA from 1 species
AGAGUUUGAUCCUGGCUCAGGACGAACGCUGGCGGCGUGCCUAAUACAUGCAAGUAGAACGCUGAAGAGAGGAGCUUGCUCUUCUUGGAUGAGUUGCGAACGGGUGAGUAACGCGUAGGUAACCUGCCUUGUAGCGGGGGAUAACUAUUGGAAACGAUAGCUAAUACCGCAUAACAAUGGAUGACACAUGUCAUUUAUUUGAAAGGGGCAAUUGCUCCACUACAAGAUGGACCUGCGUUGUAUUAGCUAGUAGGUGAGGUAACGGCUCACCUAGGCGACGAUACAUAGCCGACCUGAGAGGGUGAUCGGCCACACUGGGACUGAGACACGGCCCAGACUCCUACGGGAGGCAGCAGUAGGGAAUCUUCGGCAAUGGGGGCAACCCUGACCGAGCAACGCCGCGUGAGUGAAGAAGGUUUUCGGAUCGUAAAGCUCUGUUGUAAGUCAAGAACGAGUGUGAGAGUGGAAAGUUCACACUGUGACGGUAGCUUACCAGAAAGGGACGGCUAACUACGUGCCAGCAGCCGCGGUAAUACGUAGGUCCCGAGCGUUGUCCGGAUUUAUUGGGCGUAAAGCGAGCGCAGGCGGUUUGAUAAGUCUGAAGUUAAAGGCUGUGGCUCAACCAUAGUUCGCUUUGGAAACUGUCAAACUUGAGUGCAGAAGGGGAGAGUGGAAUUCCAUGUGUAGCGGUGAAAUGCGUAGAUAUAUGGAGGAACACCGGUGGCGAAAGCGGCUCUCUGGUCUGUAACUGACGCUGAGGCUCGAAAGCGUGGGGAGCGAACAGGAUUAGAUACCCUGGUAGUCCACGCCGUAAACGAUGAGUGCUAGGUGUUGGAUCCUUUCCGGGAUUCAGUGCCGCAGCUAACGCAUUAAGCACUCCGCCUGGGGAGUACGACCGCAAGGUUGAAACUCAAAGGAAUUGACGGGGGCCCGCACAAGCGGUGGAGCAUGUGGUUUAAUUCGAAGCAACGCGAAGAACCUUACCAGGUCUUGACAUCCCGAUGACCGCCUUAGAGAUAAGGCUUUUCUUCGGAACAUCGGUGACAGGUGGUGCAUGGUUGUCGUCAGCUCGUGUCGUGAGAUGUUGGGUUAAGUCCCGCAACGAGCGCAACCC